AUUAGGUAAAAAGUACAAUUCACCAAAGAGGUAGAUAUCAACAUCAUACAUGUUUUAGAUAAUAUGCAGACAAAAAAUCGCCAGAGCUAUGUCUGCGACACAACAAAAUCAUAAACUAGUGCAAGCCUACAGCAAGAAAAUUAAAGAUUGGAAUCCCAAUCACAACAUGCAUUAGAAGGAUUUCAGUUUCUUUUCAUAAACCCUGCACUAGU